GAUGAACGCUAGCGGCAGGCUUAACACAUGCAAGUCGAGGGGCAGCAUAAUGAAGUAGCAAUACUGAAUUGAUGGCGACCGGCGCACGGGUGCGUAACGCGUAUGUAACCUACCUCUAACAGGGGGAUAACACUGAGAAAUUGGUACUAAUACCCCAUAACACUUGAUAGGGCAUCCUAUUGAGUUGAAAGUUCCGGCGGUUAGAGAUGGACAUGCGUUGUAUUAGCUAGAUGGUGAGGUAACGGCUCACCAUGGCGACGAUACAUAGGGGGACUGAGAGGUUAACCCCCCAGACCUGGUACCUGAGACACGGACCA
rnacentral:rRNA from 1 species